UUGCUUAAUUGCGAUUGCCAAUGAAGUUUUCACUUCCGCCGUGCGUUCUAAAGCACUCACUCUAUUUUUUGUAGUAUUAUUAGUCAUGCUUUAAU